AGAGUUUGAUCAUGGCUCAGAACGAACGCUAGCGGCGCGCCUAAUACAUGCAAGUCGUGCGAGAAAGGGCUUCGGCCCCGGUAAAGCGGCGCACGGGUGAGUAACACGUAGGUAAUCUGCCCUCGAGUGGUGGAUAACCCUCCGAAAGGAGGGCUAAUACAGCAUGAGACCACGGCCUCGUCGAGGCUGCGGUCAAAGCAGGCCUCUACAUGUAAGCUUGCGCUCGAGGAUGAGCCUGCGGCCCAUCAGCUAGUUGGUAGGGUAACGGCCUACCAAGGCGAAGACGGGUAGCUGGUCUGAGAGGAUGAACAGCCACACUGGAACUGAGACACGGUCCAGACUCCUACGGGAGGCAGCAGUAGGGAAUCUUGCGCAAUGGGCGAAAGCCUGACGCAGCGACGCCGCGUGAGCGAUGAAGGCCUUCGGGUUGUAAAGCUCUGUGGGGAGGGACGAAUAAGGGCUGGCUAAUAUCCGGCCCGAUGACGGUACCUCCUUAGCAAGCACCGGCUAACUCUGUGCCAGCAGCCGCGGUAAGACAGAGGGUGCGAACGUUGUUCGGAAUUACUGGGCGUAAAGCGCGUGUAGGCGGCCAUGCAAGUCGGGCGUGAAAGCCCACGGCUCAACCGUGGAAGUGCACUCGAAACUGCGUGGCUAGAGUCCUGGAGAGGAAGGUGGAAUGCUUGGUGUAGAGGUGAAAUUCGUAGAUAUCAAGCGGAACACCGGUGGCGAAGGCGGCCUUCUGGACAGUGACUGACGCUGAGACGCGAAAGCGUGGGGAGCAAACAGGAUUAGAUACCCUGGUAGUCCACGCCGUAAACGAUGAGUGCUAGGUGUCACGGGCUUUGACCCUCGUGGUGCCGAAGCUAACGCGUUAAGCACUCCGCCUGGGGAGUACGGCCGCAAGGCUAAAACUCAAAGGAAUUGACGG
rnacentral:rRNA from 1 species